GACUACCGGGGUAUCUAAUCCUGUUUGCUACCCACGCUUUCGCGCCUCAGCGUCAGAAGUGGACCAGGGACUCGCCUUCGCCACCGGUGUUCCUCUCGAUAUCUACGCAUUUCACCGCUCCACCGAGAGUUCCAGUCCCCCCUACCACCCUCUAGAACGGCAGUCCGGCGUGCACUUCCCUGGUUGAGCCAGGGGCUUUCACACGCCGCUUACCGAACCGCCUACGCGCCCUUUAUGCCCAGUGAAUCCGAACAACGCUUGCCACCUUCGUCUUACCGCAGCUGCUGGCACGAAGUUAGCUGUGGCUUCCUCCAGACCCUUAGUCAACACCGGUUUGUUACGACCGAUGCAUUCUUAAGUCUCGACAGGAGUUUACAACCCGAAGGCCUUCUUCCUCCACGCGGCGUCGCUCCGUCAGGCUUUCGCCCAUUGCGGAAAAUUCUCGACUGCAGCCCCCCGUAGG
rnacentral:rRNA from 1 species